rnacentral:pre_miRNA from 1 species
GUUGAGGGGAAUGCUGUCUGGUUCGAAACCAUUCACCAAAGUAUCAAGAGUUUAUUAUUUGAAUGAUUUCGGACCAGGCUUCAUUCCCCCCAAC